rnacentral:rRNA from 1 species
AUGGAAAGGCACAACGAGGGCUCAACUGUCUCCUCUUCUCUAGUCAAUGAAAUUGAAUCUCCCCGUGCAAAAGCGGGGCAUACCCCCAUAAGACGAGAAGACCCUGUGGAGCUUUAGGCACAAGGCAUAUCAUGUUAAACACCCCUGAACAAAGGGCUGAACUAAAUGAACCCUGCCCUCAUGCCUUAGGUUGGGGCGACCAUGGGGAAGCAAGCAACCCCCACGUGGAAUGGGAACACUUCUUUUUUUCUCCCUCCUACAAGCAAGAGCUGCAGCUCUAGCAAACAGAAUUUCUGACCAAACUAAAGAUCCGGCAACGCCGAUCAACGGACCAAGUUACCCCAGGGAUAACAGCGCAAUCCCCUUUUAGAGCCCAUAUCGACAAGGGGGUUUACGACCUCGAUGUUGGAUCAGGACAUCCUAAUGGUGUAACCGCU